GAUGAAGAACGUAGCGAAAUGCGAUAAGUAGUGUGAAUUGCAGAAUUCAGUGAAUCAUUGAAUCUUUGAACGCACAUUGCGCCCCAUGGUAUUCCGUGGGGCAUGCCUGUUCGAGCGUCAUUUACCCCCUCAAGCUCCGCUUGGUGUUGGGCGUCUGUCCCGCUUCGCGCGCGGACUCGCCCCAAAGGUAUUGGCAGCGGUCGUGCCAGCUUCUCGCGCAGCACAUUGCGCUUCUCGAGGCACCGGUGGGCCCGCGUCCAUCAAGCUCACCCCCCCAGUUUGACCUCGGAUCAGGUAGGGAUACCCGCUGAACUUAAGCAUAUCAAUAAGCGGAGGA
rnacentral:misc_RNA from 1 species